rnacentral:rRNA from 1 species
GAUGAACGCUAGCGGGGGGCCUAACACAUGCAAGUCGAACGUAUUUAUUUACGUGGCAAACGGGUGCGUAACACGUGCUUAAUCUGCCCUGGAGUGGGGGAUAACUAUUGAAAGGUAGCUAAUCCCGCAUACGCUCCCAUUAAUGAAAAAGAUGGGAGGAAAGAUUUAUCGCUCUAGGAGGAGGGCGCGGCCUAUUAGUUAGUUGGUGAGGUAAUAGCUCACCAAGACGAUGAUGGGUAGCUGGUCUGAGAGGAUGAUCAGCCACAAUGGGACUGAGACACGGCCCAUACCCCUACGGGGGGCAGCAGUGGGGAAUCUUGCACAAUGGACGAAAGUCUGAUGCAGCCACCCCGCGUGGAGGAUGAAGCAUUACGGUGUGUAAACUCCUUUUCUGGAGGAAGACGACUGACGGUACUCCAGGAAUAAGCGACGGCUAACUACG